UACGGGGGGGGCAAGCGUUGUUUGGAAUUACUGGGCGUAAAGAGCUCGUAGGUGGUUUGUCGCGUUGUUCGUGAAAACUCACAGCUUAACUGUGGGCGUGCGGGCGAUACGGGCAGACUGGAGUACUGCAGGGGAGACUGGAAUUCCUGGUGUAGCGGUGGAAUGCGCAGAUAUCAGGAGGAACACCAACGGCGAAGGCAGCUCUCUGGGACGUUACUGACGCUGAGACGCGAAAGCGUGGGGAGCAAACAGG
rnacentral:rRNA from 1 species